GGGGCUGUGGCUCAGUGGCAGAACAUCUGCUUUGCAUGCAGAGAGUCUCUGGUUCAAUCCCUAGCAUCUUCA